rfam:Picea glauca, whole genome shotgun sequence.
GCGCUCUUAGUUCAGUUCGGUAGAACAUAGGUCUCCAAAACCUGAUGUCGUAGGUUCAAAUCCUAUAGAGCGUG